rnacentral:rRNA from 1 species
AAAGGAAUAGACGGGGGCCCGCACAAGCGGAGGAACAUGUGGUUUAAUUCGAUGAUACGCGAGGAACCUUACCUGGGCUUAAAUGUAGAGUGCAUGAGGUGGAAACACCCUUUCUGGCAACAGACUCUUUGCAAGGUGCUGCAUGGUUGUCGUCAGCUCGUGCCGUGAGGUGUCGGGUUAAGUCCCAUAACGAGCGCAACCCUUAUCGUUAGUUGCCAUCAGGUAAUGCUGGGAACUCUAGCGAGACUGCCACCGUAAGGUGAGAGGAAGGUGGGGAUGACGUCAAAUCAGCACGGCCCUUAUGUCCAGGGCUACACACGUGUUACAAUGGCCGGUACAAAGGGCAGCUACACCGCGAGGUGAUGCUAAUCUCGAAAGCCGGUCUCAGUUCGGAUUGGAGUCUGCAACCCGACUCCAUGAAGUUGGAUUCGCUAGUAAUCGCGCAUCAGCCAUGGCGCGGUGAAUACGUUCCCGGGCCUUGUACACACCGCCCGU